GUACAUUUCUACUGUGAGUGUAUACUUAAAAGAAUAAUUGCUAAGUAAAGCAUUAUUUAUAUAGUCAACCUCAGUAGACACUCCUAAAGAGUUGUCCAAACAGCUUACAUUCUAAAUAGCAUUAUAUAAGAGUUCUAGUUACUCCAUAUCCUUCCUAAAGUUUUGUGUUGUCUUUUCAGUUCCUUGUUUUUUUUUUUUAGUGUUGGGUCCUAUUUGAAAGCAGUUUUAAUUGUCAUAUAUCUUAUGAUUAAUGAUAAUUUGCAAUUUUUAGAUACCAAUUUGCCAUUUGAAUAUCUAAGUUUGUAAAGGAUCUGUUCAAAUAUUUUUCAAUUUUUAUACUGAGUCGUUUGCCCUUUUCUUAAUGAUAUGCAGCAUUUCUUAUAUAUUCUGGCUCUAAGCUAUUUGUCAGAUGAAUUAUUUGACUUUUUUGUAUAUGUAUCUGUAUAAACAUAUAAUUACAAGUACUUUAUUUUACUCUGCAGUUUGCAUUUAUAUUCUUUUAAUGUUAUCUUUGAUGAGUGGACAUUUAAGUCAUAGCUCCACUGGUUGUUAUACAAUCCUGCCAGUAGUACUUUUUUUAAAAAAAAAAGUUAUGGUUUUUUGUUAUUUUAGAGUGAUGAUGUUAUUUUAAAACCAGUUACUACACUUUUGCUAGAAGUUAAAUAAACUUAUUUCUCUUUACACAAAUCAAGAGUGUAUAUGAGAUACGUGUAUAUAAAGAUAAUUUGCAUUACUUAAAAUUUACUCUGUUAGUCAUGUUAAAUUAUAAAACUCAGUGAUGUUUAAUAUAUAUUCACAAUGUUAUAACACUAUCUCUACUAAUUCCAGACCAUUUUUAUUAAUCCUACCCUUCAAGAUUCCAUACCUAUUAAACAAUCACUUACUAUCUUUCCUCCACAUGCUUAUAUUUAUAGCAAUGUUAUGCAUCAUAGCCACAACUUGGGAUCAACAAAGGUGUCCUUCAAAGAUAAAUAGAAUGGGCCAGGAGCAGUGGUUUAUACCUAUAAUACUAGCACUUUGGAAGGUGGAUCCUGGAGAAUUGCUUGAGGCCAGAAGAUUUAGACCAGCCUUAGCAACAUGGUAA
rnacentral:lncRNA from 1 species